GACGAACGCUGGCGGCGUGCUUAACACAUGCAAGUCGAACGGGCCUUGUCCCCUUUUUUUUUGGGGGUGGGGUUAGUGGCGAACGGGUGAGUUACACGUGAGUAACCUGCCCCUCACUUCUGGAUAACCGCUUGAAAGGGUGGCUAAUACGGGGCGUUCUGGCCUGCUCGCAUGGGUGGGUUUGGAAAGAUUCGACCGGUUUUGGUUGUUUUGGUGGGGGAUGGGCUCGCGGCCUAUCAGCUUGUUGGUGGGGUGAUGGCCUGCCAAGGCUUUGACGGGUAGCCGGCCUGAGAGGGUGGGCGGUCACACUGGGACUGAGACACGGCCCAGACUCCUACGGGAGGCAGCAGUGGGGAAUAUUGCACAAUGGGCGCAAGCCUGAUGCAGCGACGCCGCGUGAGGGAUGGAGGCCUUCGGGUUGUGAACCUCUUUCGCCAGUGAAGAAGGUCCUGCUCUUUGUGGUGGGGUUGACGGUAGCUGGGUUAAUGAAGCGCCGGCUAACUACGUG
rnacentral:rRNA from 1 species